AAUUUAUUUAAAUGUACCGUCCACAAUUUCUCUUCCUGAAAAUAACUAUUUUCCUAUCCUAUUUCACUAUAUCUCAA
rnacentral:sRNA from 1 species